rnacentral:rRNA from 1 species
GGGGAAUAUUGCGCAAUGGGGGGAACCCUGACGCAGCGACGCCGCGUGAAGGAAGAAGGCCUUCGGGUUGUAAACUUCUUUGAUUGGGGAAGAAAAAUGACGGUACCCAAAGAACAAGCCACGGCUAACUACGUGCCAGCAGCCGCGGUAAUACGUAGGUGGCGAGCGUUAUCCGGAAUUACUGGGUGUAAAGGGCGUGUAGGCGGGGAUGCAAGUCAGAUGUGAAAUUCCGGGGCUCAACCUCGGCACUGCAUCUGAAACUGUGUCUCUUGAGUGCUGGAGAGGAAAGUGGAAUUCCUAGUGUAGCGGUGAAAUGCGUAGAGAUUAGGAGGAACACCAGUGGCGAAGGCGACUUUCUGGACAGCAACUGACGCUGAGGCGCGAGAGCGUGGGGAGCAAAC